rnacentral:rRNA from 1 species
UACGGAGGGUGCAAGCGUUAUCCGGAUUCACUGGGUUUAAAGGGUGCGUAGGAGGGCAGGUAAGUCAGUGGUGAAAUCUCCAAGCUUAACUUGGAACUGCCGUUGAUACUAUCUGUCUUGAAUAUUUGUGGAGGUGAGCGGAAUAUGUCAUGUAGCGGUGAAAUGCUUAGAUAUGACAUAGAACACCAAUUGCGAAGGCAGCUCACUACUCAAAUCAUUGACUCUGAGGCACGAAAGCGUGGGGAUCAAACAGG